rnacentral:lncRNA from 1 species
UGUCCUUUCAAAGCGUUCCAUUGUAAACCUGCUAAGUCAAGAAACACGAAUAUAGAGUUGUAGACCAUACAAUUCCAUUGGUUCCUUGGUGCACACUAUGGAAUGAUUAGAAACACAAAUAUAAAAUUAGCGAGUGGCCAAUUCACAAUGAAGCUAUGCGUAUUUGGUCACUAUUUAAUUAAGCAAGAUAAUUGUCCUUUCGAGAACAUCUCGAGAGCAGUGCCCGGGUUCUGUGGGUAGUGGACUGGAGUCCUUUGAUCUCUUUCGGCUCUAAGCAGCAAUUGAACCAAAAGUACCCAUAUAAUACAGCUGUAACCAUCUUUCCCUACUUUAUUUGUGACAUAGUCAGCUUUUAUAAUAUGCAUUUGAGUUUUGUUUUUCAGGUUAGCUGUGCCCAUUUUACACUGAUAUGAACGCAAUUAUGCAGUAUAUUCGUUGCUUGUUCACCAUCAGCUCCAAUCUUCACCUCAAUUUGGGAGAUUGUUAACUAUUCCCAAGAAUGUGUACCUUUGCUUUUCACUGCAUGUCUAUACCUCAGUCUGGAGAAACAUAUAUAUAGAAUGUCUCAUCAUGUGGUGGUUCUGAAACUCUCUUACACUGUUCUUGUGCAAAAUCGAAGGCUCUGCUGUUCUUCAAGGUAUUUCUGAAUUUUGACAACAUUAAUGAUCAUGCCCUCUGUUAGUUCAAGUCUUCAACAUGGCCCUCUGUUAGCAUCUUGAAGUAAUUAUGAAGUUCCAUGGUCAAUUGAUGUCAUGCUACAGAAAACUAAAAUCUGAGGUAUAACACAUCCAAAACAGAGGUCAGAAACCUUGCAUUGACGUCCAAAGAGAAUCACAUCUACAGUAAAAUAAACAUGAAAACUAAUCAAGGAUAGGCUGAUACAAAAACAUUGAGCAUGUUGGUUAGUACGCCUAAACAUAGAUAUAGAGUCUAAAACCAGAAAAGGGAACAGUUAGUGGAGUGACUUUAUCGAAUGAAGAACAAAUCAGGUAAGGUACAGAACGAUUUGAUAUGAUCAAUUACACAUUUACAUUUAAACGCUUCAUGUGGAGCAACUCUUUGCAAGGACUUACAUGAAGCAUUGCACAGCACAGACCGACUGUACGUAUUAUGCAUGAGAUGUAACAAUUGGCAGGAUGUAUCGCAUCACCUCUUAGUGCUUCCUGAAAUCAAGGGGCAUGCCUUAUUGUUGCAAUUGUAUAUAACAACUAAAGAGGAAGCCCCCAAAAGCACAGGUGCACUUAGCUUGGACAGUGUCAAAACUAAGAACUAUGGCAGGACGCCAUGAUCCAAAAAGUAAGACAAAAUUUUAGUCAAGUUACCUUUUUGCAAAGCAGGAAGAUAGAGCCAGGCAGUAUGCCAUGGUGGCCCGGAAGACAGCAAAAAAAACUGAUGUCAUGCUGAACUUUUAUUUGGUUCAAACACUACAUGAUGAGAAAGUUGUUUGCUCCAGCUCAUUCUGUUAUGAAUCUUAAUAGCAUUAGCAAGAAGACUAGAACAACUUCAUGUGGUCUUAUAUCAUGAGUUGAUUGGAAAUUACCUCACACCGUCACUACUAGUACUCACAAUGAUGAUGUACAUUUGAAAAUUCACACUGACUCCAAAUAUAGGUAGGCGUUGCAUAUGAAAAAUGUGUCUACGAGAUAAUCCCAAAUUUAAGUCUGUCACGGAUCAUGUAUCAUAUAGCAAGAUAAUACAGGGGGUGGAGCUGGAGGCAUUGACCGCCGUCGAUCAUUGCAAACAACAGAAUCUAGCAGCUAAUGGCCCCACGGAAUUUGUUGAGGACUUGAGGUCGUGCCCUGUGACCCCAGUGUUCUAUGAUCAUUGGAAACCGCGAAGAACCUCAAAACAAGAAGAAGAAGAAAAAAGGAAAACGAGAAGCAGAAAUGAAUCAUAAAACCAAAAUGAAAACGAUCAACGUUCGAUACUCUGAAAAUUGUAACUUUGAACAGCCAACAGUUAAACAGCAGUACAAUACAAGCAGGUAGUGAUCCAAGGAACGAAAACCAGAGCCAAGGACUCACGCGUCAAGAACCUCAGAUUAACCUUGCAAGCAUGCCGUACUCGCGCAUUUUUUUUGCGCUGGAUGCAGGCAUGCAGCAGCACAUGGUCAUCGACUCACCGUUGGUGUAAAAUCAAUAGUAAAUUGGGGGCUAGAGACAACCGUGUCUACUGAAACGGCACCCCUGCUCCAUGGAGCACCUCUGUCUACACAUAUAUGCCGGGCGCGUCAUCCUAGGACGCUUGCUGCCAUUGCACAGUCAAAAGAGGAUCAGAUUAGGUAUGAUGAACUGGUGAAUCAUGAAGGCGUGUAUGAUGGCAGGCACCUUAAACUUAAAGCACACUCCAAACCACAAAGACCGCGGCGGCAGCAGCAGUAUUUUUAUAUAUAUUUUAUUUCAUGAGAACGAAACUAGCAGAAUCAGUCGACAGCCAAAUUUCAGAGUCCCUUGUCUUCGAUUGUAUAGCAGGGCGAAGCAAUUGCACAGAAACCGCAAGGAGAUGUUGGGUAAGGACUUGAGAUCACCGGGCUGGACUCACCGCCGACCCCGCCGCCGAACCGAAGAGAGGCAGAGG